CCUACGGGUGGCAGCAGUGGGGAAUAUUGCACAAUGGGGGAAACCCUGAUGCAGCGACGCCGCGUGAGUGAAGAAGUAUUUCGGUACGUUAAGCUCUAUCAGCAGGGAAGAAAAUGACGGAUCCGUACUAAGAAGCCCCGGCUAACUACGUUCCAGCCGCCGCGGUAAUACGUAGGGGGCAAGCGUUAUCCGGAUUUACUGGGUGGAAAGGGGGCGUAGACGGCAGAGCAAGUCUGGAGUGAAAUCCCAUGGCUUAACCAUGGAACUGCUUUGGAAACUGUGCAGCUAGAGUGCAGGAGAGGUAAGCGGAAUUCCUAGUGUAGCGGUGAAAUGCGUAGAUAUUAGGAGGAACACCAGUGGCGAAGGCGGCUUACUGGACUGUAACUGACGUUGAGGCUCGAAAGCGUGGGGAGCAAACAGGAUUAGAUACCCCAGUAGUC
rnacentral:rRNA from 1 species